UUUACUAACAGUUCGUAAGUUGUGCGUAAGUUUUUACGUACAUUUUCAACUUACGUAAAUAAUACGAAUUGCGUACGUGCGUUUUACUAAAAUUUCGUAAGUGUAAAUAUUUGCGUAGGAAUAAAUAAUGCGUAACUCUCCGAUUGGAGGUAGAAAUCUCUCUUGGCGCGCACCUGUCAAAAAGAUAAACAAUGGCGACGCCGCAAAAGUUUAAAAGGAAAGAGAAUUGGUCCAGAGCAGAGCAUGAAAUGCUGAGGUAUUCAUUCCUUGAUGAAAGCCAUGCCAUUGAAAGCAAGUCCAACCAUUACUCAUGUCGAUGAAGAAAAAUCGUGGAAGAGGAAUGAAAAGAGACUGAAUGCCCAGGGUGUCUGCAUUAGAACUCUUGAUGAGUUUAAUAAGAAAUUAACCAACAUCAAGAUGGACGUGAAGAGGAGGCGUCAGAUGGCAGCGCUGACAGGUGGUGUGACUCCGUAUCUGUUCUGAUACAUAGAAGGGCCACUUCUGGCCUAUAUAUCUACGGGGUGACUCCUCCAAAGUUCAAUGAGCAGGAGGAGAAGAAACAAGUCCAUCAUCUUUGGUGCUGCACCAUACUGCCAAAACAGCUACAUGUUCAUCGUUUGCAGUUAUGUCAAUUUACCUCCAACAUAGUGUUUCCUGCAAUGUCCCAGGGGGCUGCCAUGAUUCCAAAAAGUACAACACCAACUGCAGCAAAAGUGACAAGAGUUUCCAAGAUUCCAUCUACAAGCAACUUGAAAAGACUUCUUAAAUGCCAGAGUGAGCUCUAUGAGCAAAUAUUACAUCAACAAAAACUGACAAUUGACUGUCUCCUUUAUUACAAUUUAUUUCAUGAAUGAUAACUUAAAUAAAAUGUGACUCAGCAACUGUUUUAAAUCAACAAACAUUCUAACAUAAACCUUUGAAGUCUUAUAGUAGAAUCAUAUACCUGGAAGUCUUUGAUUAUUUUAUCUACUUAAAAAACUCACAAUCCACUUAAAUAUUGCUGACACUUGAAGCUUUUCAUAUUUUAUUCACUAUUGCAUUUAAUAAAUCUUUAUUUACCUGUCAACCUAUUCAUAUUCAAGUAAUCUAAUAUUAAAAUACAUAUGGAAAAGCACUUUCAUUUAAAGUGACAUCUAUCAAACAUUGUAAUCACAAAAAAGGGGCUCAUAAUCAUACAUUUUAUGAUAUGGUAUUUUUUUACCAAUAGCUGAAUGUGUAAAUUGGUUAUUGUUUAGAGAGAUAAUAUGUCAAUUUAUUUGUUUUGUAAAUGUGUUUUUAAAUUGUUAUUUAUACUGUCAACACUAUUUAACAUAUUUAUGAUUGUCAGCCUUCAUGUACUGUUUUGUUCAUUGUUAUAAUCAUCUUCUCCAUAAGUAAUGUCAGUGAUUAUCAAAAUGAUACCGCAUCAAAUUCAUGUAUAAUCAUUUUUAAAGGGACUUGUUCAUGUUUUAUAUGGUUAGACAUUGAUUUUUUUAUUUCCUAUGAAAUGUGAACAAAAUGCUUGUAGCAAUGAUAAAACACUACAAAAGUUUAAAUAAGCUCAGAAAAUAUGGCAUAAAAUGCUUUAUUUUGCCAAAGUCAGGCUAUUUAAAAUUAAAUCAUUUUAGGCUUAGAUUUACUAUUAAAAUGUUGUUCAUAUGAUUAUAGCAGUUGCUUUUUGGUCUUUCUUCAUAAAAGUUGGUAAAAUAAUUCAAUUUCAACAAUUUGAAAAUAAAUAAUCUAUUAACAGUCCCUUUCUGAUAAUGAUUGCUACUAUUGUGUUGUUGUUUUUCAAGUUAAACUUGAUGUAAAAUGUCAAUUUUAAAUUCACACAAAUAAAGUUUUCACUUAUUUCACAGAUAGAUAUGUUUUACCUUUGUCUUUUCACUUUGUUGAAAUAAUAAUAAUGAUACAUCUAUGGAAUUCAAAUAUUAGCACAAACACAUCAUGUUAUUGAGAUAUUGAGAUGCACACUUUCUAUUUUGUAUUGAAUAAUUAAUAGAAUCCCUAGAAUGACAUUUUAUUCCUCUUGAUUGCUUUUACU